rnacentral:ncRNA from 1 species
UGGGGAAUGCGGUCUCCCCACGAGGCGUCAGCCGAAGCAUCGC